UACGAAGGGGGCUAGCGUUGCUCGGAAUCACUGGGCGUAAAGCGCACGUAGGCGGACUCUUAAGUCGGUGGUGAAAUCCUGGAGCUCAACUCCAGAACUGCCUUCGAUACUGAGAGUCUCGAGUCCGGGAGAGGUGAGUGGAACUGCGAGUGUAGAGGUGAAAUUCGUAGAUAUUCGCAAGAACACCAGUGUCGAAGGCGGCUCACUGGCCCGGUACUGACGCUGAGGUGCGAAAGCGUGGGGAGCAAACAGG
rnacentral:rRNA from 1 species